GUUUGCACUCAUCGGGGAAGGGUGAGAACCUUCGACUAAGGUUCGAUUCGAGCGAAAGCGAGAGAACGUUGCCACAGGCAACGGCCCGAAGGGUGAGGAGCGAAGCGACGAAUAAUCCUUCCCCCAC
rnacentral:sRNA from 1 species